AACGUAGGAGGCAAGCGUUAUCCGGAGUUACUGGGCGUAAAGGGCGUGUAGGUGGGUCGCUAAGUUGGUUAUGAAAGCUCGUGGCUAAACCGCGAGAGGCUGACCAAGACUGGCAAUCUGGAGUGGAGGAGAGGUCAACGGAAUUCCGCGUGUAGUGGUGAAAUGCGUAGAGAUGCGGAAGAACACCGGUGGCGAAGGCGGUUGACUGGCCUCCAACUGACACUGAGACGCGAAAGCAUGGGUAGCGAACGGG
rnacentral:rRNA from 2 species